rnacentral:rRNA from 1 species
AAUCUCAGUUCAGAUUGCAGGCUGCAACUCGCCUGCAUGAAGUCGGAAUUGCUAGUAAUCGUAGGUCAGCAUACUACGGUGAAUACGUUCCCGGGCCUUGUACACACCGCCCGUCAAACCAUGAGAGUUGGCAACACCCGAAGUCGGUAGUCUAACCGCAAGGAGGACGCCGCCGAAGGUGGGGUUGAUGAUUAGGGUUAAGUCGUAACAAGGUAGC